rnacentral:rRNA from 1 species
GACGAAGGUGGCGAGCGUUGUUCGGAAUCACUGGGCAUAAAGCGCACGUAGGCGGUGCCGUAAGUCGGAUGUGAAAUCCCUCGGCCUAACCGAGGAACUGCGUCCGAUACUGCGGUGCUUGAGGAUCAGAGGGGUGCAUGGAAUUUCCGGUGGAGCGGUGAAAUGCGUUGAUAUCGAGAGGAACACCAGUGGCGAAGGCGAGUCCCUGGACAACACCUGACACUGAGGCACGAAAGCCGGGGGAGCAAACAGG